AUACUUUGGUUUCUCUUCAGAUUGUAUAAAUCUUCUGCCUUUUACCAGUGAUUUCCAUGGAGAGGGACAUUUAUGAGUUUUUAACUAAUUUUUUAAAAAAU
rnacentral:snRNA from 1 species